rnacentral:rRNA from 1 species
AUUGAACGCUGGCGGCAUGCCUUACACAUGCAAGUCGAACGGUAACAGAUCUUCGGAUGCUGACGAGUGGCGAACGGGUGAGUAAUACAUCGGAACGUGCCUAGUAGUGGGGGAUAACUACUCGAAAGAGUGGCUAAUACCGCAUGAGAUCUACGGAUGAAAGCAGGGGAUCGCAAGACCUUGUGCUACUAGAGCGGCCGAUGGCAGAUUAGGUAGUUGGUGGGAUAAAAGCUUACCAAGCCGACGAUCUGUAGCUGGUCUGAGAGGACGAUCAGCCACAGUGGGACGGGGACAGGGCCCAGACUCCGACGGGAGGCAGCAGUGGGGAAUUUUGGGCAAUGGGCGCAAGCCUGAGCCAACAAUGCCGCGUGCAGGAUGAAGGCCUUCGGGUUGUAAACUGCUUUUGUACGGAACGAAAAGCCCUGGGUUAAUACCCUGGGGUCAUGACGGUACCGUAAGAAUAAGCACCGGCUAACUACGUGCCAGCCGCCGCCGUAACAC